rnacentral:rRNA from 1 species
GACGAACGCUGGCGGCGUGCCUAAUACAUGCAAGUCGAACGAAGCUGUUUUAACUGGUGCUUGCACCGACUUAAACAACUGAGUGGCGAACGGGUGAGUAACACGUGGGUAACCUGCCCCAAAGCGGGGGAUAACAUUUGGAAACAGAUGCUAAUACCGCAUAACCACAGAAACCACAUGGUUUCUGUGUCAAAGAUGGUUUCGGCUAUCACUUUGUGAUGGAACCGCGGCGUAUUAGCUAGUUGGUAAGGUAAUGGCUUAACAAGGCAAUGAUACGUAGCCGAACUGAGAGGUGGAUCGGCCACAUUGGGACUGAGACACGGCCCAAACUCCUACGGGAGGCAGCAGUAGGUAAUCUUCCACAAUGGACGAAAGUCUGAUGGAGCAACGCCGCGUGAGUGAAGAAGGUUUUCGGAUCGUAAAACUCUGUUGUCAGAGAAGAACGUGUGCGAGAGUAACUGUUCGUGCAGUGACGGUAUCUGGCCAGAAAGCCACGGCUAACUACGUGCCAGCCGCCGCAGUAA